GGAAUUUUCCGCAAUGGGCGAAAGCCUGACGGAGCAAUACCGCGUGAGGGAUGAAGGAUUUUGGUCUGUAAACCUCUUUUCUCAAGAAAGAAGUUCUGACGGUACUUGAGGAAUAAGCAUCGGCUAACUCCGUGCCAGCAGCCGCGGUAAUACGGGGGAUGCAAGCGUUAUCCGGAAUCAUUGGGCGUAAAGCGCCUGUAGGUUGUUUAAUAAGUCUGUUGUUAAAGCCUAGGGCUUAACCCUAGAAAAGCAAUGGAAACUAUUAGACUAGAGUAUGGUAGGGGUAGAGGGAAUUUCUAGUGUAGCGGUGAAAUGCGUAGAUAUUAGAAAGAACACCGGUGGCGAAAGCGCUCUACUGGACCAUUACUGACACUCAGAGGCGAAAGCUAGGGUAGCAAAAGGGAUUAGAUACCCCUGUAGUCCUAGCCGUAAACGAUGGAUACUAGAUGUUGUGCAUUAAGGACAGUAUCGUAGCUAACGCGUUAAGUAUCCCGCCUGGGGAGUACGCUCGCAAGGGUGAAACUCAAAGGAAUUGACGGGGGCCCGCACAAGCGGUGGAGCAUGUGGUUUAAUUCGAUGCAACGCGAAGAACCUUACCAGGGCUUGACAUACUACGAAUCUUUUUGAGAAAAAAGAGUGCCUUCGGGAAUGUAGAUACAGGUGGUGCAUGGCUGUCGUCAGCUCGUGUCGUGAGAUGUUGGGUUAAGUCCCGCAACGAGCGCAACCCUUAUUUUUAGUUACCAAUUCGUUGGGUUCUCUAGAAAGACUGCCGGUGACAAACCGGAGGAAGGUGAGGAUGACGUCAAGUCAGCAUGCCCCUUAUGUCCUGGGCUACACACGUGCUACAAUGGCAGAGACAAAGCGUCGCUAGCUCGCGAGAGUAAGCUAAUCGCAUAAACUCUGCCUAAGUUCAGAUUGUAGGCUGCAACUCGCCUACAUGAAGUUGGAAUCGCUAGUAAU
rnacentral:rRNA from 1 species